AACUUCUGAAUGUUGACCUCGGAUCAGGUAGGAAUACCCGCUGAACUUAAGCAUAUCAAUAAGCGGAGGAAAAGAAACCAACAGGGAUUGCCCUAGUAACGGCGAGUGAAGCGGCAACAGCUCAAAUUUGAAAUCUGGCUUUCGGGCCCGAGUUGUAAUUUGUAGAGGAUACUUUUGAUGCGGUGCCUUCCGAGUUCCCUGGAACGGGACGCCAUAGAGGGUGAGAGCCCCGUCUGGUUGGAUGCCAAAUCUCUGUAAAGUUCCUUCGACGAGUCGAGUAGUUUGGGAAUGCUGCUCUAAAUGGGAGGUAUAUGUCUUCUAAAGCUAAAUAUUGGCCAGAGACCGAUAGCGCACAAGUAGAGUGAUCGAAAGAUGAAAAGCACUUUGAAAAGAGAGUUAAAAAGUACGUGAAAUUGUUGAAAGGGAAGCGUUUAUGACCAGACUUGGACUUGGUUAAUCAUCUGGGGUUCUCCCCAGUGCACUUUUCCAGUUCAGGCCAGCAUCAGUUUUCGCCGGGGGAUAAAGGCAGCGGGAAUGUGGCUCUCUUCGGGGAGUGUUAUAGCCCGUUGUGUAAUACCCUGGUGGGGACUGAGGUUCGCGCUUCUGCAAGGAUGCUGGCGUAAUGGUCAUCAACGACCCGUCU
rnacentral:rRNA from 2 species